CACACGACUCUCGGCAACGGAUAUCUCGGCUCUCGCAUCGAUGAAGAACGUAGCGAAAUGCGAUACCUGGUGUGAAUUGCAGAAUCCCGCGAACCAUCGAGUCUUUGAACGCAAGUUGCGCCCGAGACCAUUCGGUCGAGGGCACGCCUGCCUGGGCGUCACG
rnacentral:rRNA from 2 species